ncrna:Plutella xylostella (diamondback moth) microRNA pxy-mir-8536a precursor
UUCCUGACACGAGAUAGUGACAUAGCUGAGAUAGGUUUCAUUUCACACUAACUUAUCCCAGCUAUGUCACUGACUAAUGUCAGAUU